AAUCCAUAUCCAAUCUAUCAAAUGCGGAUUUUUAAAUUUUCAAUCCAUAUCCAAUCCGCGGAUCCACGGAUCAGAUUUUCACGGAUCAGACAGAUUGAGCGGAUUGGAUUGGAUUCUGAACACCCCUAAUGCCCAACAACCAAUAAGAAAAACAAUCAACAUAUAUAAAAACAAUGUAAAUGGAAAAGGAAAUGGAGAAAAUUAGAAAAAAAUUUUAAAAAAACAAUAGCUAAAACAUAAAAAUAAACAAGAGGUUGUAAGUAAAAAUGCAAUAAAAUAAAAUAAAAAGAAAAAGAAAAACACCAAACGAAAGACACCAAUUGGAAAAGGAUUCUUCCUCUUCAAUCGGAAAAACACCCUUAUUUCGUUGGCGGCAUUAAGUUGUUGGGUUUGUGGUUCGGUGACUACGGAUUGGAGGCGGUUGCAGCAGCAGUAGUGGUGGUGAACUUCAAUGGCAGUGACCUAUAAAUAGGUAUAGUUCUAAAUACGGUGAGUAUAGUGGUGGUGGUAUACCUUGGUGAGAAAAAAAUGAAAAAAGAGUAGUGGUUGAAGAAGUAGCAGUGGAGUAUAGUAGAGAGAACUGAGGAAAUUAUAAGUUGAUAAUGCUAAUUUUUAAUUUUAUUUUGAAUUAGUUAAUUUUUUUUAAUUCAUCCGAUGUGUAAAAUUAGAAAUUUACAAACUAUUGAUUAUUAAUUGAUU
rnacentral:lncRNA from 1 species